rnacentral:rRNA from 1 species
GUGAGGAAUAUUGGGCAAUGGGCGAAAGCCUGACCCAGCCACGCCGCGUGAGUGAUGAAGGCCCUCGGGUUGUAAACUGCUUUUGUACGGAACGAAAAGCCUGGGGCUAAUAUCCCCGGGUCAUGACGGUACCGUAAGAAUAAGCACCGGCUAACUACGUGCCAGCAGCCGCGGUAAUACGUAGGGUGCAAGCGUUAAUCGGAAUUACUGGGCGUAAAGCGUGCGCAGGCGGUUAUAUAAGACAGAUGUGAAAUCCCCGGGCUCAACCUGGGAACUGCAUUUGUGACUGUAUAGCUAGAGUACGGCAGAGGGGGAUGGAAUUCCGCGUGUAGCAGUGAAAUGCGUAGAUAUGCGGAGGAACACCGAUGGCGAAGGCAAUCCCCUGGGCCUGUACUGACGCUCAUGCACGAAAGCGUGGGGAGCAAACAGGAUUAGAAACCCUAGUAGUCC